rnacentral:lncRNA from 1 species
CGGGAUGCUCCUUCCUCUGGACCAGGAACAGUGGGACACCAGCUCAGAAGCCCCUAUCUUUGGGCCGGGAGCAUUGGGCCAUUUAAGUAAUAUAUUUAUAAUAGAAUUUACCAUUAUUAUUUUGAUGCAGGUCUCUGGAACCUUUUGAUAGAGUCAGUUUGGAAUGCAAAGCCUUCACAUCAUGAAAAGUAGAAAGGCUGACGAGCACUCUGAUGUUCUAAAUCUAAGCUCUCUGGUUACCUGUGUCAGAGGACCUGCCUCAUGCUCAUGCCUCAGUCUCAUCACCUCAGCCCUUACCUCUUCCUCACUCAGCUCCUGAGGACAAACUGGUAAGAACUCCCAAGGGACCAAGUUUUGACACGAGAAAAAAGAAGACAAGAUGGCAUGGCCUUGAGGGACCU